UGCAAGUCGAACGGACCCUUCGGGGUUAGUGGCGGACGGGUGAGUAACACGUGGGAACGUGCCUUUAGGUUCGGAAUAGCUCCUGGAAACGGGUGGUAAUGCCGAAUGUGCCCUUCGGGGGAAAGAUUUAUCGCCUUUAGAGCGGCCCGCGUCUGAUUAGCUAGUUGGUGAGGUAACGGCUCACCAAGGCGACGAUCAGUAGCUGGUCUGAGAGGAUGACCAGCCACACUGGGACUGAGACACGGCCCAGACUCCUACGGGAGGCAGCAGUGGGGAAUCUUGCGCAAUGGGCGAAAGCCUGACGCAGCCAUGCCGCGUGAAUGAUGAAGGUCUUAGGAUUGUAAAAUUCUUUCACCGGGGACGAUAAUGACGGUACCCGGAGAAGAAGCCCCGGCUAACUUCGUGCCAGCAGCCGCGGUAAUACGAAGGGGGCUAGCGUUGCUCGGAAUUACUGGGCGUAAAGGGCGCGUAGGCGGAUCGUUAAGUCAGAGGUGAAAUCCCAGGGCUCAACCCUGGAACUGCCUUUGAUACUGGCGAUCUUGAGUGUGAGAGAGGUAUGUGGAACUCCGAGUGUAGAGGUGAAAUUCGUAGAUAUUCGGAAGAACACCAGUGGCGAAGGCGACAUACUGGCUCAUUACUGACGCUGAGGCGCGAAAGCGU
rnacentral:rRNA from 1 species